rnacentral:rRNA from 1 species
GCAGCCUUCCAGUCCGUAACUGACGCUAAUGCUCGAAGGUGCGGGUAUCGAACAGGAUUAGAUACCCUGGUAGUCCGCACGGUAAACGAUGGAUGCCCGCUGUCGGCGAUACAAUGUCGGCGGCCAAGCGAAAGCGUUAAGCAUCCCACCUGGGGAGUACGCCGGCAACGGUGAAACUCAAAGGAAUUGACGGGGGCCCGCACAAGCGGAGGAACAUGUGGUUUAAUUCGAUGAUACGCGAGGAACCUUACCCGGGCUUGAACUGCAGCAGGCGGAUCCAGAGAUGGUGACUCCCUUCGGGGCUGCUGUGGAGGUGCUGCAUGGUUGUCGUCAGCUCGUGCCGUGAGGUGUCGGCUUAAGUGCCAUAACGAGCGCAACCCUUGCUGUCAGUUGCCAUCAGGUUAAGCUGGGCACUCUGAGAGGACUGCCACCGUAAGGUGUGAGGAAGGUGGGGAUGACGUCAAAUCAGCACGGCUCUUACGUCCGGGGCAACACACGUGGACGGGGGGUGGGAACAAGAGUCGGGAACACGCAAGUCGCGGUCAAAUCAAAAAAGCCAUCCUCAGUUAAUGAAGGGGUAUGCAAUCCGACGCCAAGAAG